rnacentral:rRNA from 1 species
CCUACGGGGGGCAGCAGUGAGGAAUAUUGGUCAAUGGACGAGAGUCUGAACCAGCCAAGUAGCGUGAAGGAUGACGGCCCUAUGGGUUGUAAACUGCUUUUAUGCAGGAAUAAAAUGAGUCACGUGUGCCUUUUUGCAUGUACUGUAUGAAUAAGGACCGGCUAAUUCCGUGCCAGCAGCCGCGGUAAUACGGAGGGUCCGAGCGUUAUCCGGAUUUAUUGGGUUUAAAGGGAGCGUAGACGGGUCGUUAAGUGUGUUGUGAAAGUUUGCGGCUCAACCGUAGAAGUGCAAUUGAAACUGGCAGUCUUGAGUGCAGUUGAGGUAGGCGGAAUUCGUGGUGUAGCGGUGAAAUGCUUAGAUAUCACGAAGAACUCCGAUUGCGAAGGCAGCUUACUAAACUGUGACUGACAUUGAUGCUCGAAAGUGUGGGUAUCAAACAGGAUUAGAUACCCCGGUAGUC